rnacentral:lncRNA from 1 species
ACAAUUAUGCAUCAAUUAAAAAUACAAUAAAAUAAACUAAAAAAUAAAGUAAUAAAAAAGGAAAAGAAAUAAUAAAAGGGAGGGGGCACACUAUCAAUUCAAGAUGUAAAAGAAUUAAAAAAACUAUAGGAAAUAAAAGAAAGAACAAAAAUAAAUAAAGAAAGCAAUAAUAAGAAAAUAAUAAACCAAAAAUAUAUACAAAAGAAAAA